rnacentral:rRNA from 1 species
GCCUACGGGGGGCAGCAGUAGGGAAUCUUCCACAAUGGGCGAAAGCCUGAUGGAGCAACGCCACGUGGGUGAAGAAGGUCUUCGGAUCGUAAAACCCUGUUGUUAGAGAAGAAAGUGCGUGAGAGUAACUGUUCACGUUUCGACGGUAUCUAACCAGAAAGCCACGGCUAACUACGUGCCAGCAGCCGCGGUAAUACGUAGGUGGCAAGCGUUAUCCGGAUUUAUUGGGCGUAAAGGGAACGCAGGCGGUCUUUUAAGUCUGAUGUGAAAGCCUUCGGCUUAACCGGAGUAGUGCAUUGGAAGCU